rnacentral:rRNA from 1 species
UGACCUCGGAUCAGGUAGGGAUACCCGCUGAACUUAAGCAUAUCAAUAAGCGGAGGAAAAGAAACCAACAGGGAUUGCCCCAGUAACGGCGAGUGAAGCGGCAAGAGCUCAAAUUUGAAAGCUGGCUCCUUCGGGGUCCGCAUUGUAAUUUGCAGAGGAUGCUUCGGGAGCGGUCCCCAUCUAAGUGCCCUGGAACGGGACGUCAUAGAGGGUGAGAAUCCCGUAUGGGAUGGGGUGUCCGCGCCCAUGUGAAGCUCCUUCGACGAGUCGAGUUGUUUGGGAAUGCAGCUCUAAAUGGGUGGUAAAUUUCAUCUAAAGCUAAAUAUUGGCCGGAGACCGAUAGCGCACAAGUAGAGUGAUCGAAAGAUGAAAAGCACUUUGAAAAGAGAGUUAAAAAGCACGUGAAAUUGUUGAAAGGGAAGCGCUUGCGACCAGACUCGCUCGUGGGGUUCAGCCGGCAUUCGUGCCGGUGUACUUCCCCGCGAGCGGGCCAGCGUCGGUUUGGGCGGUCAGUCAAAGGCCCCUGGAAGGUAACGCCCCCUCGGGGGCGUCUUAUAGCCAGGGGUGCAAUGUGGCCUGCCCGGACCGAGGAACGCGCUUCGGCUCGGACGCUGGCAUAAUGGUCGUAAGCGACC